rnacentral:lncRNA from 1 species
AAGGUCUAGCACAACCGGGUAAAUUGGCCUUUUUUAGUCUUUGCUUCAUUCUCGUUACACGACAACGAGCAAAGAGGGGCAGCUGUAAUGACCCAAUAUUGCCCGGCCCGAUAUAACUAAAAAAUAAAACCAAUAUAAAAACAAAAUUAAAAGUCCAAAAAACCAUAGUGUCCAGAUUACAAAUCGACACGUCCCAAAAAACUAAAUGCUAAGCCCAAAUCACCUAACCCUAACCCAACACAAAGCAGUUUUUCAAUCAGAAAACCCUAGCAUUACUGCCCUCCAGCCGCCGCAACAGUAGCCUCCCACACACGCGUCUCCAUGCCACGUUGGCAUUCGUACGCCCCAGCUGGCCCUCGUACAACCGUACUUGCAGCAAACAAUAAGACAACAGCAAAAAAAGAAGAAAAAAGAAAAGCAAAAAUAACAACAGGAAAGAAAAUAGAAAAAGAUAGCAGAGAAAGA